rnacentral:tRNA from 2 species
GCCGGCGUAGCUUAGUUGGUAGAGCAGCCGAUUCGUAAUCGGCAGGUCGUACGUUCAAAUCGUAUCGCCGGCA